rnacentral:lncRNA from 1 species
UACAGAUCAGCCUCCCCAGACACAGAGCAGGUGAACGGGGAAUCUGGAGGGGCAAAUAGAAGCUAUCCAUUUUUUUUUAAAGUUCCAGCUCAGAGGUUUCCCCCUUUAUGACUUCAGAGUGUAAUAACACAUAGUUCGAAAUAGAAAUAUAGUAGAUGAUGCCAUACACGUUGUCACCUGCAAGCCCUGAGUUGAAGAACAAAUAGAAGAAUGAGUUGAAGGAUGUUUAAUAAUGAUUCAAGUGUUAACAGACACAAAUGGCAGCAUUACUUUCAUAUUGGAGUGCGGAAGACAGAAGGAGAAUGCCACAGUACUGCCUGAGGUGGGAUCCCCUAAAUCUUUAUGUUUUUAUAAUAAACCCUGGAAAUCUUUCUGUUAUGGACUGAAUCAUGUUCCACCCAAAAUUCAUAUGUUGAAGCCCUAAUCCCCAAUGCGACUGCAUUUGGAGAUAGGGCCUAUAAGGAGGUCGUAAAGAUUAAAUGAAGUCAUAAAGGUGGGGCCUUAAUCUGAUAGGACUGGAAUCCUUAUAAGAAGUGAAAGAGACACCGAGAUGCCUCUCUUUCUCUCCCUCUCUCUUAUUCUCUCCCUGUCCCUCUCUGCAUGUGCCCAGGGAGGAGGCCACGUGAGAGCACAGUAAAAACAUGUCUCUAACAGCCAGGAUGAGAGAUUUCACCAGUAACCAACUCUGAUGGACCCUUGAUCUUGGACUUCCAGUCUCCAGAACUGUGAGAAUAUAAAUUUCGUUUUCUAAGCUACCCAGUCUGUGGUAUUUUGUUUUGGCAGGCCGACCUAAGACACUAUCAUGGUCUUUGGAACCAAACUGAUGUGGACUCAUAUCUCAGCUCUACCAUUUAUUAGCCCUAUU